rnacentral:rRNA from 1 species
UUGGAGAAGUGGCAAGUCUUCCAGUAUGGGGAGCAAAACAGCUAUGGGUCAAGUCCGAUAUCUUUAGGAGGGGCGAAGCUCCUCUUAUUGUGAGGGCGAGUUUUAUAACACCAUAGGACUGGCCGUCCCAUAUGAAAAGAUUAUAUUAGAAUUGAAUGAAGCUUUGUUUAUAUAUUGAUAAUGACAGUAUAUAUAUCGUGUCUUGACUAAUUGCGUGCCAGCAGUCGCGGUAAUACGUAAGAGACUAGUGUUAUUCAUCUUAAUUAGGUUUAAAGGGUACCCAGACGGUCAAUAUAGCUUAUAAAAUGUUAGUACUUGACUAGAGUUUUAUGUAAGAGGGCAGUACUUGAGGAGGAGAGAUGAAAUUUCGUGAUACCAAAGGGACUCUGUAAAGGCGAAGGCAGCCCUCUAUGUAAAAACUGACGUUGAAGGACGAAGGCACAGAGAACAAACAGGAUUAGAUACCCAAGUAGUCUUUGCAGUAAAUGAUGAAUGCCAUAGGUUAGAUGGGUGGGUUAGUUGUAGUUGAGUUAGUUUAGCAAACUAAUGGAUUCAGGCUAGUCCACCAUAUAUUUGGUCUAUAAAUGAAAGUGUAAGCAUUUCACCUCAAGAGUAAUGUGGCAACGCAGGAACUGAAAUCACUAGACCGUUUCUGACACCAGUAGUGAAG